AGCUUAGGGGAAAAUAGAAGAAAAAAGAAAGUUUUGGUUUUUAAACCAAUGCUAUGCUGUGAGAUGCAGUGGGGAAGGGUGAGAUGCCUGUACCUCUGAGUGGGUG